rnacentral:lncRNA from 1 species
CGGGCACACCAGGAAGCCUGGAGCCACCUCCCCACAGUGACAUACACACACACUCUCACAUAUCAACACACACUCACACACACAAACCCACACACAGUCACAUGCACACGAUCACAUAAAACACACACAUGCAUUCUCACACACACACACAUGGUCACAUGCACACAAUCACAUACAACACACACAUGCAUUCUCAAACACACACAGUGACAUUCACACGAUCACAUAAAACACACACAUGCAUUCUCUCACACACACACGGUCACAUUCACACAGUCACAUACAACACACACAUGCAUUCUCAAACACACACACCCAACACGGUCACAUUCACACAAUCACAUACAACACACAUAUGCAUUCUCAUACACUCUCACACACCCACACACAGUCGCAUGCACUCACACGCCAUCACAUACACACUCACAUAAAUCCAGUUAAUUACAUGCACACAAUCACAUACAACACACAAAUGCAUUCUCAUACACUCUCACACACCCACAUUCUCACAAUCACCUAUAACAUACACACACGCAUUCUCACACACACCCCUACACAGUUACAUGCACACAAUGACAUACAACACACGCAUGCAUUCGCAUACACUCACACACCUACACAGUCACAACACACACAUGCAUUCUCACUCUCAUAUCCCCACACACAGUCACAUGCAAUCACAUAAAACACACACAUACAUUGACACCCACCCACCCCCCCCCACAGUCACAUGCUCACAAUCACAUACAACACACAUGUGCAUUCUCAUACUUUCACACCCACACACCCAAUCACGUGCAUACAAUCACAUACAAUACACACAUGCCUUAUUACACACUCUCACCCGCACAUACGCACAGUCAUAUGCACACACAUGCCAUCACAUACAUAAACCCACACACAGUCACAUGCACACAAUCACACACAACACACAUGCAAUCACACACACGCUACACACCCAGUCAUGUGCUCACAAUCACACACAAUCACACACACUCUCACAUACAUCCAGACACGCAGUCACAUAAAACUCAUAUACUUGCUCACCCCCACACAGUCACAUGCAGACUCUCACAUAAAACACACAUACCCAGACACAACACACACACUCAUAAAGACUCACAGACACCACACACUCACACACCUCACAGACUCUUGCACUCACACUCAGGCUCACCAGCUCCCAUCCCUAGCCGCCUUCUUGCCUCUGCAGACAUACAGGUACACAACCCCCUGAACCCCUGCCCUGGGUCUCUCGGA